AGUUACCAGCACGUUAUGGUGGGCACUCUAAGGAGACUGCCGGUGCAAACCGGAGGAAGGUGGGGAUGACGUCAAGUCAUCAUGGCCCUUACGGCCUGGGCUACACACGUGCUACAAUGGUCGGUACAAAGGGUUGCCAAGCCGCGAGGUGGAGCUAAUCCCAUAAAACCGAUCGUAGUCCGGAUCGCAGUCUGCAACUCGACUGCGUGAAGUCGGAAUCGCUAGUAAUCGUGAAUCAGAAUGUCACGGUGAAUACGUUCCCGGGCCUU
rnacentral:rRNA from 1 species